GAUGAAGAACUCAGCGAAAUGCGAUAAGUAAUGUGAAUUGCAGAAUUCCGUGAAUCAUCGAAUCUUUGAACGCACAUUGCGCCCCCUGGUAUUCCGGGGGGCAUGCCUGUCCGAGCGUCAUUGCAACCCUCAAGCGCGGCUUGUGUGUUGGGCUUCGUCCCCCCGUGGACGUGCCCGAAAGGCAGUGGCGGCGUCCCGAAUGGUGCCCGAGCGUAUGGGAACUCUCUUCCGCUCGAACCGGCCCAUUCGGCGCUGGUCGAACCCCAAUUUUUUUUUACCGGUUGACCUCGGAUCAGGUAGGGAUACCCGCUGAACUUAAGCAUAUCAAUAAGCGGAGGA
rnacentral:misc_RNA from 1 species